UACAGAGGUCUCAAGCGUUGUUCGGAAUCACUGGGCGUAAAGGGUGCGUAGGCGGCGGGGAAAGUCAGGUGUGAAAGCCCAGGGCUCACCUCCGGAAGUGCGCUUGAAACUGGUCGGCUAGAGUACGGGAGAGGGAAGCGGAAUUCCUGGUGUAGCGGUGAAAUGCGUAGAUAUCAGGAGGAACACCGGCGGCGAAGGCGGCUUCCUGGACCGAUACUGACGCUGAGACGCGAAAGCGUGGGGAGCAAACAGG
rnacentral:rRNA from 1 species